rnacentral:rRNA from 1 species
UACGAAGGGGGCUAGCGUUGCUCGGAAUCACUGGGCGUAAAGCGCACGUAGGCGGAUUGUUAAGUCAGGGUGAAAUCCUGGAGCUCAACUCCAGAACUGCCUUUGAUACUGGCGAUCUCGAGUCCGGGAGAGGUGAGUGGAACUGCGAGUGUAGAGGUGAAAUUCGUAGAUAUUCGCAAGAACACCAGUGGCGAAGGCGGCUCACUGGCCCGGUACUGACGCUGAGGUGCGAAAGCGUGGGAGCAACAGGG